CAGCUCGUGUCGUGAGAUGUUGGGUUAAGUCCCGCAACGAGCGCAACCCUCGUCCGUUGUUGCCAGCGUAAAGGCGGGCACUCAACGGAGACCGCCGGAGACGAUCCGGAGGAAGGUGGGGAUGACGUCAAAUCAUCAUGCCCCUUAUGUCCUGGGCCACACACGUGCUACAAUGGCCGGUACAGCGAGGAGCGAGGCCGCGAGGCGGAGCGAAUCUCUUAAAGCCGGUCUCAGUUCGGAUCGCAGGCUGCAACUCGCCUGCGUGAAGCCGGAAUUGCUAGUAAUCGCGGAUCAGCACGCCGCGGUGAAUACGUUCCCCGGGUCUUGUA
rnacentral:rRNA from 1 species